GCUUCCAUACUAGAAUGUCCAAUUCUUUCUGGAGUGCCAGCAAGGAAAACAUUUUUGAUCUGGUAAGUUUGAAUACGCACAAGAAGGGAGAGAGAGGUUAGUGUCCCACAGUAAUAGCAACAAAUUAAUGGUACCCUGCUGCGGAAUGUUCUUGCAAACUUUCUUGUGAGAGAAAAUUCCCAUUGUGCAAUAUUUUAAAUCCUGCAUUGUUUCCAUCCAUGCUUAGAUGAGCUAGCUCCUUUCCUGCCUUCACUGGCGUGGAGCAGUGUUUCUUGCUUUGUGACUGCUGCCAACUGUCAGUGGAAUAGUGUGACACAGGCAAAUAUGCGGAGAGAGCCCCCAGCUGCAGCAGCACAUGGAUCUGGAUGAAGCCUGACGCGUCUGAUUUUACCCAUAAUCCAUCAUGAUACAGAAAAAUAAAAGGCAAAAAUAGCAUAUUCUUAAUA